rnacentral:rRNA from 1 species
GAUCCUGGCUCAGGAUGAACGCUAGCUACAGGCUUAACACAUGCAAGUCGAGGGGCAGCAUGAACUUAGCUUGCUAAGUUUGAUGGCGACCGGCGCACGGGUGAGUAACACGUAUCCAACCUGCCGAUGACUCGGGGAUAGCCUUUCGAAAGAAAGAUUAAUACCCGAUGGCAUAGUUCUUCCGCAUGGUGGAACUAUUAAAGAAUUUCGGUCAUCGAUGGGAUGCGUUCCUACUUAGG